AAGUCGUAACAAGGUUUCCGUAGGUGAACCUGCGGAAGGAUCAUCAAUGAAUUUUCAAAUGAUGGCCUACAUCUUUGAAAUUGUCUAGCGAAUUUUAUUUGCUUGAUUGGAAUUGACGGAUUAUUGCCUAAUUCAGGCGAUAAUCAACUUUACCGACCAAAAAACAACUUUCGGCAACGGAUCUCUCGGCUCACC
rnacentral:misc_RNA from 1 species